AGCAGCCGCGGUAAUUCCAGCUCCAAUAGCGUAUAUUAAAGUUGCUGCAGUUAAAAAGCUCGUAGUUGAAUUUCGGGACUAAUAUGUCGGUCGUGCCUCGGUACGUACUGGCUUAUUGGUUUCUCCUUUCUGAAGAACCAUGAUGUCAUUUAUUUGGUGUCGUGGGGAAUCAGGACUGUUACUUUGAAAAAUUAGAGUGUUUAAAGCAGGCUCACGCUUGAAUACAUUAGCAUGGAAUAAUGAAAUAGGACGUUUGAUUCUAUUUUGUUGGUUUCUAGGAUCGACGUAAUGAUUAAUAAGGAUAGUUGGGGGCAUUAGUAUUCAAUUGUCAGAGGUGAAAUUCUUGGAUUUAUUGAAGACUAACUACUGCGAAAGCAUUUGCCAAGGAUGUUUUCAUUAACCAAGAACGAAAGUUAGGGGAUCGAAGACGAUCAGAUACCGUCGUAGUCUUAACCAUAAACUAUGCCGACUAGGGAUCGGAUGAUGUUAAUUUUUAAUGACUCAUUCGGCGCCUUAAC
rnacentral:rRNA from 1 species